GACUGAAGACAUGGGGAAGACAAGAAAUAAAUAACCAAAGUGAGAUUCUUGAAAAGGAAGCAAAGACAGAAAUCAGAAGCUGGUUAGAAGAAAUCAACCUGAGAAGCAAGAGAAGAACACUAUACAUUGUACUAAAGAAUAGAGGAAUGAAUGUGUUGGUUAUUUGGAAUUCAGCUCAGGUCAGAGCCAAAGAAGCAAUUCUACCUCACAAGGGCUGCAGCUGGUUUCCUCCAGCGCCCCUCCAUUCAUAGCAAGGGAAGGAGUGGCAGACUCAUACAAGAUCAGUUUAAAAGGAAAAGCAAUUCUGCUUCCUCGUCCUCAUGAAGUCUUGAGCUACACUGGCCAGGAUUCAAAGAAGAAAGGCUCAAGUGAAAAAAAAAACGUGGCUGUUGGUGAAAACAAUACUUGGAGACAUACACCAGGUUAUUUGGACUUUUGCCAAUGAAUACAUCACUAGAAGAUGAAGAUGGCAUGGCUUCCCUCCACCAUCUGGCUUAAUCGAGUUGGG
rnacentral:lncRNA from 1 species